rnacentral:lncRNA from 1 species
UGUUUUGUGCAGGAAUAGAAACCCUGACUAAGACAGUAGUCCAAUAACAUCCAUCUCUGUGCUGGAGAGGCUGAGUGUAUAGCAGUGGCUCAGCCUGUGAGGCUGGACACCUCAGCAGCCCUGAUCUGACCCUGAAAGCACAGGGUUUCCUGGAGAGGGACAUUGGUCUUCAGUCCACAGUCAAAAACCGAAGAUUUGGGUUCUGAUGUCAUCAGCAAAAUCAACGGGGAUAGAAAUCAUUAAACAGGAAGUGAACGCAGGCCGACAAAGCUGUGUGUCCUCACGUUUUUCUACUGAGGUCACCUGCUGUUGCCUUCACUUGUCCACUCUGAGCAGGGACCCAGCCCCUCAGUUAACCCUUCCUGAAAAGGCCUUACCAACAACCCUGAGGUACGCCUCUCAGUGGAUUCCAGGUCUUGUCAAGUUGAUGGUUGAGAUUUACCUUCACAUUCUCCCUCCAAGACGAGCUUCACUGUCAAAUGACUUUUACCUCCACAUCUUUACCCUUGCUUAACUUGCAUUUAGGUUUUUAUGUCAUUGCUUAGCAUGAGGACAAUUUGUCUUUUAUAAGUUUUUCCACACAUACACACCCGCACAAACACAUGUG